GGAGAGAUGGCUCAGUGGGAGGGAGCACUUGCUUCCAAAGCAAGAGGACAUGAGUUCAAAUCCCUAGUGCCUACA
rfam:Mus musculus chromosome 10, GRC primary reference assembly.